AGCGCUCUCUGCCCAGCUCCCUCGCACACCGCACUGAUGCUGGAGCCAGAAUAUGAAGUCAUUUUACUGCUCCGGCAUCAGUAAGCGGCGUGCGAGGGAGCUGGGCAGAGAGCGCU